rnacentral:lncRNA from 1 species
CAAAGAUACGUAUAAAGCGCGCAUUAUUUGGAAAAUUCGUCUUUUCGUAGAAGUCGUGGGACACGCAUUAAAAGCACAAGGCAUUUAAAAUCAUUUUUUUAAGUGGGAAAUGAAAGCGCAUAAGGGCGUAGAAUAUUCUAGACCCUUCAGUUUUUUCUCAAAAUCCCCGAAAAACAUCUUACUACCAAUCAACGGUCAAAAUCUUUGCCCAUCCUCCCAUCUCGAUCCAAUCUCCAUCGUCGACGCACUCAUUCAUCGACCUACACACCCUACCUGUUCUUCCUCUCUCCAGUUCUCUUAGCAGCCUCCUUUCUCUUUGUGAAAUUGACGAAAUUUAGGAGAGCUGCAAUUCUUCAUCCUUAUAACAAUACAGUAAAUCAAGAUGUUUGGGAGGGCACCAAAGAAGAGUGACAACACUAAGUACUACGAGAUCCUUGGGGUGCCUAAAACGGCGUCUCCGGACGAUUUGAAGAAGGCGUACAAGAAAGCUGCGAUCAAGAAUCAUCCUGACAAGGGUGGAGAUCCUGAGAAGGUAGUCUUAAUUUUUUCGAUCCAAUAUUUCAAUGUUUUUAUUUUCCUGCGAGCAUUGGAGUCAUAUUAAUGCUGAAAAUUAUGUGGAUUUAGUAGCUAAUGUAAUUUUUCGAGUUAAUUCAUUUACUGGUAAUGUUUCUCGAAGCGAUUUCGUUGUAUAAUUAAUUGUCAAUAUUGUGUAACAUGCAGUUUUAAUUGUGUGUUCUACUGUUGAUUUUUCUUUAAAUGAUGGAGUAGCAAUGAACAAGAAUGCAAAUAUCAGUUUGAAUUAGGAAAAAAUUCUGGAUUAAUGUUGUUGGAGAAUAAGGAGAAAUGCAGCAAGAUUCGAGAUACUGUAGGAGAAAAUAAUUUUAAGUAGGAGUUGGGGAAAUAAUAAUCAAAGACUACUUUGAUUUUUUAAAAGAGAAGGUUUUGAAUUGUACUGCUAGUUUAAUAGGACUAUAUAUUUUAAAACAAGUAUAAUGUAUAGAAAAUUAAUAUCUUUGACUGGACUGUUUCAUGAGAAAUGAAAACUUGAAUUGUAAUUCAUGGGUAUUGAUUUAUACGAUGUAUCUUUGUGCCAUUUUGUUUCAAAU